UUUUGCAGCAGAGACACUUUUGGGGGAAGGGCUCUCUUUAAUAUCAGCUGUUGAUGGGAGAUAAUCCCUCGGCUGAUAAUUCACGACUUGAGUUUCUUUGUGCUAAAACAAAGAGCUGGGAGGCGCCAUUAUGCGCUGACAACACAUUCAGUCGCGCUCUAUCAGAGGUUGGAACUUGGAACCCAGAACCCAACCUGACGUCAUCGCAACAAACUCUCACUGCGCAUGCGUGUGAACUAUAAAAGGCAGGAUCGCGCGUUUGUUCUUCCCAGUUCCGUGUUUCUUGUGAAGGUAUGUGGGCUGUUGGACCAUGGAGGUUUCCUACAGUGCUUCCUCAGAUUUUGAUCAUACUGGAGCCAAAUGGAUGACCUUAAAUUCAUCAGACUUCGUUUCAUAAGUCUUUAACUCCCCAAAACAGGAGAAUUCUGUAAUUCAAGAGGACCACACAAUGAGAGACCCUUGACGAAUGGCCACAUGUGAAGGCGUUUGAGCGACCUGUGUUCCUGAAUGCCCUUCAGUGCCAAGCCCACGUGGAGCAGUGGAUGACAUACACGAGGGGUUUUCUCAAAGCAGACUAGUGUUUACCAGCCAUAGGAGAGGAAAUACCUUUUUAAAGUUUUAGAGUAUUAAAGUUGCUAUUAUUUUGACCUACUAGUGUUCCAACAUGCUUUUUGAGGCAUUCAAGUUUGUUCAACUUUAAUUUCUCAGAAUGCUUUCACUAAUUAUUGCUUGUAACUUGUUGGUUCUAUGCUUGUGUAAAUGGUCUUUCAGCAGGCAGUUACCUCUUUUACUGUUUCAAUAAAACUAGUUAAUGACUUUGCAUUUAUGAAAACUGUGUGUGGGGGGCUUUUUUUGUGUGUGACCUUUUUAUAGAGGUCAAAUAAUGUAAAUCAAGCUAAGCUUUCAGUGGUGUGAAAUUUGUGUGGGGGUCAUGCAAAUGUUAAAUUGUAUGAUUAAUGUAGGUUGUGUCUAAAAUGCAGGAACUUAGAGGUCAUUAUUUUUAGGUCCUAUCAAGAUAAUGGUGCUCUUAUGCAUUUAACACCAUAAUUAAAUACUAUACUGCACACGGUUUUAAAGCAUUCUUCCAUGUUAACCAAGCAGUAGCUCUUUACAUGUUUCUUCUGUUAUAUGAAUGGUCACAAAGCCUGCUUCUCCAAGGUUUUAAAUUAGUGAAUUGUACAUCCACUAAAAUUGAAAUAACUGACAUUUGUAUAGGGCACUAAGAAAUGUGUUCUGUCCCCAUUUGAUUCACAGACAGAAAAGGCAAUAUCAAUCUUUUGUACAAAAUAUACAGACGUCUUAAGACUUCAAGACAUCCCACACUAAAAAAAAAAACUCAUUCCGAUAAAUCCACCCAAUGCUGCAACAAUUCUCUCUUUUGUGUCUGCAGUGAUGUAACCGCAAUCUAUGAUCCAAAUAACCUGAAAACAAACAAACACAAGAACACUUUAAAUUAUGCAACUCUCCACAAAAACAGUGUUUUUAAGAGAUAAACAUGAUUAUUUUGAGAGCAUGACUAAAGUCGAUACUCACAAGAUCAUGCAAAACAUGAUGAAAAUGUUCCAAAGAGCAAUGAAUAUGCGAAAGUACCGCAGACUCAGCAAAAACUCUCUGAUGUUGUCACCUAAAUAAUGC
ensembl:lncRNA